rnacentral:rRNA from 1 species
GACGAACGCUGGCGGCGUGCUUAACACAUGCAAGUCGAACGGAAAGGCCCUGCUUGCAGGGUGCUCGAGUGGCGAACGGGUGAGUAACACGUUGGUGAUCUGCCCCUUACUUUGGGAUAAGCCUGGGAAACUGGGUCUAAUACUGGAUCGGACCAUGCUGUCGGUGGUGUGGUGGAAAGAUUAGUUUCGGUAAGGGAUGAGCUCGCGGCCUAUCAGCUUGUUGGUGGGGUGAUGGCCUACCAAGGCGUCGACGGGUAGCCGGCCUGAGAGGGUGGACGGCCACAUUGGGACUGAGGGACGGCCCAGACUCCUACGGGAGGCAGCAGUGGGGAAGAUGGCACAAUGGGCGAAAGCCUGAUGCAGCGACGCCGCGUGGGGGAGGACGGCCUUCGGGUUGUAGACUCCUUUCAGCCAUGACGAAGCCCUUGUGGUGACGGUAGUGGUAGAAGAAGCACCGGCUAACUACGUG